UACGGGGGGGGCAAGCGUUGUUCGGAAUUACUGGGCGUAAAGGGCUCGUAGGCGGCCAACUAAGUCAGACGUGAAAUCCCUCGGCUUAACCGGGGAACUGCGUCUGAUACUGGAUGGCUUGAGUUUGGGAGAGGGAUGCGGAAUUCCAGGUGUAGCGGUGAAAUGCGUAGAUAUCAGGAAGAACACCCGUGGCGAAGGCGGCUCUCUGGGACGGUACUGACGCUGAGACGCGAAAGCGUGGGGAGCGAACAGG
rnacentral:rRNA from 1 species